rnacentral:rRNA from 1 species
UAGGGAAUCUUCCGCAAUGGACGCAAGUCUGACGGAGCAACGCCGCGUGAGUGAAGAAGGAUUUCGGUUCGUAAAACUCUGUUGUUAGAGAAGAACAGCGCAUAGAGUAACUGUUAUGCGUGUGACGGUAUCUAACCAGAAAGCCACGGCUAACUACGUGCCAGCAGCCGCGGUAAUACGUAGGUGGCAAGCGUUGUCCGGAUUUAUUGGGGGUAAAGCGAGCGCAGGCGGUCAAUUAAGUCUGAUGUGAAAGCCCCCGGCUCAACCGGGGAGGGUCAGUGGAAACUGGUUGACUUGAGUGCAGAAGGGGGGAGUGGAAUUCCAGGUGUAGCGGUGAAAUGCGUAGAUAUAUGGGGGAACACCAGUGGCGAAGGCGACUCUCUGGUCUGUAACUGACGCUGAGGCUCGAAAGCGUGGGUAGCAAACAGG